rnacentral:ncRNA from 1 species
UGGAUUGGCUGCGGGUAUCCGGUUUUCGAACUCUGUUGUUUCUUUGCAGAACGAAUGCUUUCUUCGUCUUGCUCUGUCCAGCAGCUUUGUUUCGCAACCGGGUUGAGAUUAUACCGCUCGAACCUGAACAGCGCUCACACCUGCGUAGGGAAGCCCCAGUAUCGCCUA